UGUAAAUUAAUAUAUAGGCUAUAUAUGUUAUUUUGUAUGUGCAAUUUACGCAAAAUUGACAUCGUCAAAGUCAAACAGUAACACACACACACACAGAGAGAGAUUGCUCCUUUGAUUUUAGAUGCGAUUUGUAUUUUAUGUUACACAGAUCAAUUUCUUCAAUAUUAGAUCCGCCACUUCAUCAUUUGCAUUAUGAUGUCAAAACAUAGAAUAUGACGUCACAUGUCAUUAUGUAUUGUGUGGAGGUUGAACUCGAUUUCCCUUACAGAAAAAAGGUACAUUUUGGGUACCUUUGUUGGGUACACUUUUGGGUACAUUUUGGAUACAUUACAGGUACAAUUUGGGUACACUUUGGGUACUUUACGGGUACACUUUAGGUACACAUAAAAGUACCCGGAGUGUACCCAAAAGGUACCUGGAAUGUACCUAAAGUGUACCUAAAAGUCUACCCUUUUUGGAACCGGACUUUGAAAAUAUUUCUAGCUGCAGACGGGUACUUUUUCGGGUACAUUGUUCUUUCCCAUGCAACUGUCUAAGUUAAAAUUUUCCGGGGUACCUUAUUAUUUCCAACUUUCCAAGUAUCAAUUUUUAGGGUACCUUCUGGGUACAAUAUUUUUGGGUACACACUUUGGGUACGCUUCGGGUACACUAAAAAGUACCCAGAAUGUACCUAAAGGGUACCCAAAAGUCUACCCUUUUUGGAACCCGGCGGACUUUAAAAAUAUUUUUAGCUGGAGGCAGGUACUUUUUCGGGUACAUUUUCUUUCCCGUACAACUUUUUAAGGUUUUAAUUUUUGGGGUACCUUUUAGGUACAAUUUUGUCAACAUUGUUGUUCCCAUUUUGGGGUACCUUUUGGGUACAUUUCUUUGAUACAUUUUCAGGGUAUAUUAUGGGUACAUUAUUGAUACAAUCCAGGUACAUUUUAGGUACUUUUCAGGUACAAUCCAGGUACCAUUUCAGAAACUUUUCUGGUACAUUUUAGGUACAAUUCUGCUACUAUUUUAGGUACUAUUCAGGUACAUUAUUGGUAAAAUCCGGUUACCAAUUUAGACAGUUUUUAGGUACAAACUGGGUACAUUUUAGGUACAUUAUAGGUACUUUACGGGUACAAUUUUAGGUACAAACCCGGUGCCAUUUUAGGUACGUUUUGGGUACAAACUGGGUACAUUUUAGGUACAUUAUAGGUACUUUACGGGUACAAUUUUAGGUACAAACCCGGUGCCAUUUUAGAUACGUUUUGGGUACAUUCCGGGUACAGCAUAAGUACCAUUUUAAGUACACUCUGGGUGCCAUUUUAGGCACUUUUCGGGUACCAUUUAUGGCAUUUUCCAGACUUUGCUUGCCUCUCCUAAAGUAUGCUUGACUAACACUUCAAAUGUACUGGAGUUCUGCUAGUUUUCAUGAAUAUUACCAACCAUGUGUCCUGAAAAAAUGAAGAAUCUUAAUAUAUGAGAAAUUGCAUUUAAUUCAUACUAUAAAAAUUAUGACAAAGCUUCUCUUCUUC